UACAGAGGGUGCAAGCGUUAUUCGGAGUUACUGGGCGUAAAGAGCUCGUAGGAGGUCCUUCAAGUCUGGUGUGAAAUCCCUGAACUCAAUUCAGGAAGUGCAUUGGAUACUGUAGGACUAGAGUAUAGGAGAGGAAAGCGGAAUUCCAGGUGUAGAGGUGAAAUUCGUAGAUAUCUGGAGGAACAACAGUGGCGAAGGCGGCUUUCUGGACUAUAACUGACUCUGAGGAGCGAAAGCGUGGGGAGCAAACAGG
rnacentral:rRNA from 1 species